rnacentral:rRNA from 1 species
UACGAAGGGGGCUAGCGUUGUUCGGAUUUACUGGGCGUAAAGCGCACGUAGGCGGAUUGUUAAGUCAGGGGUGAAAUCCUGGAGCUCAACUCCAGAACUGCCUUUGAUACUGGCAAUCUAGAGUCCGGAAGAGGUGAGUGGAACUCCUAGUGUAGAGGUGGAAUUCGUAGAUAUUAGGAAGAACACCAGUGGCGAAGGCGGCUCACUGGUCCGGUACUGACGCUGAGGUGCGAAAGCGUGGGGAGCAAACAGGAUUAGAAACCCGCGUAGUCC